GACGAACCGUGCGAACGUUGUUCGGAAUCACUGGGCUUAAAGGGCGCGUAGGCGGGCUACCAAGUCUGUGGUGAAAUCCCCCGGCUCAACCGGGGAACGGCCGCGGAUACUGGUGGUCUCGAGGAAGGUAGGGGCAAGCGGAACUGUGCGUGGAGCGGUGAAAUGCGUUGAUAUGCACAGGAACUCCGGUGGCGAAGGCGGCUUGCUGGACCUUUUCUGACGCUGAGGCGCGAAAGCUAGGGGAGCGAACGGG
rnacentral:rRNA from 1 species